CAACUGGAAAACAUUUGGAUUUUCACUGAAAUGAGUGAAAACAUUUCAGAGAACCUUGGGACUCCGCUGGUGGGCGGAGCCAAAGUGGUGAUAAAAUCAGAAUCAGACGUUGCUGAGAGGGACGGUCAUCUCAGUGGUUAGCGUUAGCUCUGCUUCUACGUGCACAGCACAUGACCAUGGCGGCCAUCUUGAAUUUUUAAGCAUUAAGAAAAAAACCUAACGAUAUGUUUUUGGCCGGACGCAUUCAUCUGCAUCCGACUGCAGCUGGAAAUAUUCAGCAGCCGGAUCUCAAGCUGCCGCCGGCGGCCAUGUUUGACUGCUGGCAGCGGCGGCCAUGUUUGACUUUCCUCAGCUCUUAAUGAUCGUCCA